rnacentral:rRNA from 1 species
UGGGGAAUAUUGCGCAAUGGGGGGAACCCUGACGCAGCCAUGNCGCGUGAAUGAAGAAGGCCUUAGGGUUGUAAAGUUCUUUCGGUAUUGAGGAAGGUUGAUGUGUUAAUAGCACAUCAAAUUGACGUUAAAUACAGAAGAAGCACCGGCUAACUCCGUGCCAGCAGCCGCGGUAAUACGGAGGGUGCGAGCGUUAAUCGGAAUAACUGGGCGUAAAGGGCACGCAGGCGGUUAUUUAAGUGAGGUGUGAAAGCCCCGGGCUUAACCUGGGAAUUGCAUUUCAGACUGGGUAACUAGAGUACUUUAGGGAGGGGUAGAAUUCCACGUGUAGCGGUGAAAUGCGUAGAGAUGUGGAGGAAUACCGAAGGCGAAGCNAGCCCCUUGGGAAUGUACUGACGCUCAUGUGCGAAAGCGUGGGGAGCAAACAGGAUUAGAUACCCUGGUAGUCCACGCUGUAAACGCUGUCGAUUUGGGGGUUGGGGUUUAACUCUGGCGCCCGUAGCUAACGUGAUAAAUCGACCGCCUGGGGAGUACGGCCGCAAGGUUA